rnacentral:rRNA from 1 species
CCUACGGGUGGCAGCAGUGAGGAAUAUUGGUCAAUGGGCUUACGCCUGAACCAGCCAAGUCGCGUGAGGGAAGACUGCCCUAUGGGUUGUAAACCUCUUUUGUCAGGGAGCAACGCCGGCUACGUGUAGCCGGACUGAGAGUACCUGAAGAAAAAGCAUCUGCUAACUCCGUGCCAGCAGCCGCGGUAAUACGGAGGAUGCGAGCGUUAUCCGGAUUUAUUGGGUUUAAAGGGUGCGUAGGCGGAAUGCCAAGUCAGCGGUAAAAUCGCGGGGCUCAACCUCGCUCCGCCGUUGAAACUGGCGUGCUUGAGUGGGGGAGAAGUAUGCGGAAUGCGUGGUGUAGCGGUGAAAUGCAUAGAUAUCACGCAGAACUCCGAUUGCGAAGGCAGCAUACCGGCGCCCAACUGACGCUGAAGCACGAAAGCGUGGGUAUCGAACAGGAUUAGAUACCCUAGUAGUC